rnacentral:rRNA from 1 species
AGAGCUAAAUCAAUAAAUUAAUCUUUAUUUAUUUACUUCCAAAUCCACUUUUAAGCUAAUUAUUUCAAUCAAUUAUCCAUUUAAAUAAAUUUAUUGUAACCCAUUUCUUCUUAUAUAUAUACUGAACCUUGACCUGACAUUAAAUUUAAUAAAAAUUUUAGAAAAUUAUUACCCUCUUAAGACAUUCUGAUGACGGCGGUAUACAAAUUGUAAACAAAUAUAAGCGAGGUUCAUCGUGGAUCAUCGAUUAUAGAACAGGUUCCUCUGAAUAGACUAAAACACCGCCAAAUUCUUUGAGUUUCAAGAACUUAACUCUUACUACUCAGAUUUAAUAAUUUUACAUUUUAAAUAAUAGGGUAUCUAAUCCUAGUUUAUUAUUAAAAUUUUACAGUUUAAAUAAAUCAAAAAUUUAAAAUUAAAUAAAUUUAAAAUUUCACCUAACAAAUUUAUUAUUAUUUUAAUUUAUUAAUCAAUUUAACUAAAACCAAAAAUCAUUUACUUUUACUUUUUG